AUUGAACGCUGGCGGCAGGCUUAACACAUGCAAGUCGAGCGGUAACAUUUCUAGCUUGCUAGAAGAUGACGAGCGGCGGACGGGUGAGUAAUACUUAGGAAUCUACCUAGUAGUGGGGGAUAGCUCGGGGAAACUCGAAUUAAUACCGCAUACGACCUACGGGAGAAAGGGGGCAACUUGUUGCUCUCGCUAUUAGAUGAGCCUAAGUCGGAUUAGCUAGAUGGUGGGGUAAAGGCCUACCAUGGCGACGAUCUGUAGCUGGUCUGAGAGGAUGAUCAGCCACACCGGGACUGAGACACGGCCCGGACUCCUACGGGAGCAGCAGUGGGGAAUAUUGGACAAUGGGGGAAACCCUGAUCCAGCCAUGCCGCGUGUGUGAAGAAGG
rnacentral:rRNA from 1 species